GGUUAAGCGACUAAGCGUACACGGUGGAUGCCUAGGCAAUCAGAGGCGAUGAAGGACGUGCUAAUCUGCGAAAAGCGUCGGUAAGGUGAUAUGAACCGUUAUAACCGACGAUGUCCGAAUGGGGAAACCCAGUGCAAUUCGUUGCACUAUCGUUUGAUGAAUCCAUAGUCAAACGAGGCGAACCGGGGGAACUGAAACAUCUCAGUACCCCGAGGAAAAGAAAUCAACCGAGAUUCCCCUAGUAGCGGCGAGCGAACGGGGAGCAGCCCAGAGUCUUAAUCAGUAUCAGCAUCAGGAGAACGGUCUGGAAAGGCCGGCAAUAAAGGGUGAUAGCCCCGUAUCCGAAGGUGUUGGUGUUGUGAACUCGACGAGUAGGGCGGGACACGUGUUAUCCUGUCUGAAUAUGGGGGGACCAUCCUCCAAGGCUAAAUACUCCUGAUUGACCGAUAGUGAACCAGUACCGUGAGGGAAAGGCGAAAAGAACCCCGGCGAGGGGAGUGAAAUAGAACCUGAAACCGUGUACGUACAAGCAGUGGGAGCCUUGAUUUAUCAGGGUGACUGCGUACCUUUUGUAUAAUGGGUCAGCGACUUAUAUUCUGUAGCAAGGUUAACCGAAUAGGGGAGCCGUAGGGAAACCGAGUCUUAACUGGGCGAAUGAGUUGCAGGGUAUAGACCCGAAACCCGGUGAUCUAGCCAUGGGCAGGUUGAAGGUUGGGUAACACUAACUGGAGGACCGAACCGACUAAUGUUGAAAAAUUAGCGGAUGACUUGUGGCUGGGGGUGAAAGGCCAAUCAAACCGGGAGAUAGCUGGUUCUCCCCGAAAGCUAUUUAGGUAGCGCCUCGUGAACUCAUCUUCGGGGGUAGAGCACUGUUUCGGCUAGGGGGUCAUCCCGACUUACCAACCCGAUGCAAACUACGAAUACCGAAGAAUGUUAUCACGGGAGACACACGGCGGGUGCUAACGUUCGUCGUGAAGAGGGAAACAACCCAGACCGCCAGCUAAGGUCCCAAAGUCAUGGUUAAGUGGGAAACGAAGUGGGAAGGCUCAGACAGCCAGGAUGUUGGCUUAGAAGCAGCCAUCAUUUAAAGAAAGCGUAAUAGCUCACUGGUCGAGUCGGCCUGCGCGGAAGAUGUAACGGGGCUAAACCAUGCACCGAAGCUGCGGCAGCGACAUGUAAAUGUUGUUGGGUAGGGGAGCGUUCUGUAAGCCUGUGAAGGUGUGCUGCGAGGCAUGCUGGAGGUAUCAGAAGUGCGAAUGCUGACAUAAGUAACGAUAAUGCGGGUGAAAAACCCGCACGCCGGAAGACCAAGGGUUCCUGUCCAACGUUAAUCGGGGCAGGGUGAGUCGACCCCUAAGGCGAGGCAGAAAUGCGUAGUCGAUGGGAAACAGGUUAAUAUUCCUGUACUGGUGAUAAUUGCGAUGGGGGGACGGAGAAGGCUAGGCUGGCCGGGCGACGGUUGUCCCGGUUUAAGGAUGUAGGUGGGUGAAUUAGGCAAAUCCGGUUCGCUAUACACUGAGGUCUGAUGACGAGUCACUACGGUGGCGAAGUAGCUCAUGCCCCGCUUCCAGGAAAAGCCUCUAAGCUCUAGAUUAUCAUUAAUCGUACCCCAAACCGACACAGGUGGUCAGGUAGAGAAUACUCAGGCGCUUGAGAGAACUCGGGUGAAGGAACUAGGCAAAAUGGUGCCGUAACUUCGGGAGAAGGCACGCUGGCAUUAGGUGAAGUGGUUUACCCAUGGAGCCGAAGCCAGUCGCAGAUACCAGCUGGCUGCAACUGUUUAUUAAAAACACAGCACUGUGCAAACACGAAAGUGGACGUAUACGGUGUGACGCCUGCCCGGUGCUGGAAGGUUAAUUGAUGGGGUUAUCCGUAAGGAGAAGCUCUUGAUCGAAGCCCCAGUAAACGGCGGCCGUAACUAUAACGGUCCUAAGGUAGCGAAAUUCCUUGUCGGGUAAGUUCCGACCUGCACGAAUGGCGUAAUGAUGGCCAGGCUGUCUCCACCCGAGACUCAGUGAAAUUGAACUCGCUGUGAAGAUGCAGUGUACCCGCGGCAAGACGGAAAGACCCCGUGAACCUUUACUAUAGCUUGACACUGAACAUUGAGCCUUGAUGUGUAGGAUAGGUGGGAGGCUUUGAAGUGUGGACGCCAGUCUGCAUGGAGCCAACCUUGAAAUACCACCCUUUAAUGUUUGAUGUUCUAACGUAGCCCCAUAAUCUGGGGUGCGGACAGUGUCUGGUGGGUAGUUUGACUGGGGCGGUCUCCUCCCAAAGCGUAACGGAGGAGCACGAAGGUUGGCUAAGCAUGGUCGGACAUCAUGCGGUUAGUGCAAAGGCAUAAGCCAGCUUGACUGCGAGAGUGACGGCUCGAGCAGGUACGAAAGUAGGUCUUAGUGAUCCGGUGGUUCUGAAUGGAAGGGCCAUCGCUCAACGGAUAAAAGGUACUCCGGGGAUAACAGGCUGAUACCGCCCAAGAGUUCAUAUCGACGGCGGUGUUUGGCACCUCGAUGUCGGCUCAUCACAUCCUGGGGCUGAAGUAGGUCCCAAGGGUAUGGCUGUUCGCCAUUUAAAGUGGUACGCGAGCUGGGUUUAGAACGUCGUGAGACAGUUCGGUCCCUAUCUGCCGUGGGCGUUGGAAGAUUGAAAGGGGCUGCUCCUAGUACGAGAGGACCGGAGUGGACGCACCGCUGGUGUUCGGGUUGUCAUGCCAAUGGCACUGCCCGGUAGCUAAGUGCGGAAGAGAUAACCGCUGAAAGCAUCUAAGCGGGAAACUUGCCUUGAGAUGAGUCUUCCCUGACUCUUUAAGGGUCCUAAAGGAACGUUUAAGACGAAGACGUUGAUAGGCUGGGUGUGUAAGCGUAGCGAUACGUUGAGCUAACCAGUACUAAUGAACCGUGAGGCUUAACCUG
rnacentral:rRNA from 1 species